rfam:Rattus norvegicus chromosome 5, whole genome shotgun sequence.
GGGGAUUUGGCUCAGUGGUAGAGCGCUUGCCUAGCAAGCGCAAGGCCCUGGGUUCAGUCCCCA